rnacentral:rRNA from 1 species
AUGAGUGCAUCAACCAUAUUUGAGAAGUAUUGUGACAGUUGGGUGAUGAAGGCCGAUCCUAGGACAUCUAUCUUGAGUGGAUCUGGAUGGUUGUUGGAGACUAUCAAUACACUGGGAGAGACCUUCACCAUGCUUAGAACGAAGGCAAAUGUAUUAUUUUAACUUCAUGUCUUGUUGAAGGAUAAGUAUGGGCUAAGCCAUUCCCCUUUUGUUAGUAGUUAUGAGUCUCUUGCUAUGUUCUUGUGGACCUUGGGGGGCUGUGAGUCAAAUAGAAGAACCCAAAACCGUUUCAAGCAUUCCACCGAUACAAUCCAUCUUAAAUUCCAUGAAGUACUACUUUGUGUGGUGAAGAUGUCGGCUGACUACAUCAAGCCUAAGGACCCAAAUUUUUAG